GGUUACUGCUAUCGGGGUCCGACUAAGCCAUGCGAGUUGAGAGGGGUAAGCCCUCGGCAUACUGCUCAGUAACACGCGGAUAACCUGCCCUUGGGUCCGGGAUAACCCCGGGAAACUGGGACUAAUACCGGAUAGAUCAGAGAAACUGGAGUGUUCUCUGGUUCAAAACUCCGGUGCCCAAGGAUGGGUCUGCGGCCUAUCAGGUAGUAGUGGGUGUAACGUACCUACUAGCCAGCGACGGGUAAGGGUUGUGAGAGCAAGAUCCCUGAGAUGGAUUCUGAGACAUGAAUCCAGGCCCUACGGGGUGCAGCAGGCGCGAAAACUUUACACUGCGGGAAACCGCGAUAAGGGGACCCCGAGUGCCAGCACCUAGUGCUGGCUGUCCUACUGUCUAAAUAACAGUGGUUAGCAAGGGCCGGGCAAGACCGGUGCCAGCCGCCGCGGUAACACCGGCGGCCCGAGUGGUAACCGUUUUUAUUGGGUUUAAAGGGUCCGUAGCCGGCUUACUAAGUCUCUUGGGAAAUCUGGCGGCUCAAUCGUCAGGCGGCCAAGAGAUACUGGUAGGCUUGGGACCGGGAGAGGUGGGAGGUACUCCAGGGGUAGGGGUGAAAUCUCGUAAUCCUUGGGGGACCACCGAUGGCGAAGGCAUCCCACCAGGACGGGUCCGACGGUGAGGGACGAAAGCUGGGGGCACGAACCGGAUUAGAUGCCCGGGUAGUCCCAGCUGUAAACGAUGCUCGCUAGGUGUCAGGUGCGGUGCGACCGCAUCUGGUGCCGCAGUGAAAACUUGAAGCGAGUCACCUGGGAAGUACGGUCGCAAGGCUGAAACUUAAAGGAAUUGGCGGGGGAGCACUACAACGGGUGGAGCCUGCGGUUC
rnacentral:rRNA from 1 species